GACGAACGCUGGCGGCGUGCUUAACACAUGCAAGUCGAACGGGCCCGCCCCUGUUUUUGGGGGUGGGUUGAGUGGCGAACGGGUGAGUAUCACGUGAGUAACCUGCCCCCUGCUCCUGGAUAACUGCUUGAAAGGGCGGCUAAUACGGGGUGUGCCGGCUGGUCCGCAUGGGCCUGGUCGGGAUAGUUUCAUCUUCGGGUGUUUCGGUGGGGGAUGGGCUCGCGGCCUAUCAGCUUGUUGGUGGGGUGAUGGCCCACCAAGGCGGGGACGAGUAGCCGGCCGGAGGGGGUGGGCGGCCAAACUUGGACUGAGACGCGGCCCAGACGCCUGAGGGAGGAAGCAGUGGGGGGGAUGGCACAAUGGGCGGAAGCCUGAUGCAGCGACGUCGGGUGAGGGAUGGAGGCCUUCGGGUUGUGAACCUCUUUCUCCGGUGGUGAAGGCCCUGUCCGUUGCGGCGGGGUUGACGGUAGCCGGGUAUGAAGCGCCGGCUAACUACGU
rnacentral:rRNA from 1 species